rnacentral:rRNA from 1 species
AUUGAACGCUGGCGGCAGGCCUAACACAUGCAAGUCGGACGGUAGCACAGAGGAGCUUGCUCCUCGGGUGACGAGUGGCGGACGGGUGAGUAAUGUCUGGGGAUCUGCCCGAUAGAGAGGGCUAACCACUGGAAACGGUGGCUAAUACCGCAUAACGUCGCAAGACCAAAGAGGGGGACCUUCGGGCCUCUCACUAUCGGAUGAACCCAGAUGGGAUUAGCUAGUAGGCGGGGUAAUGGCCCACCUAGGCGACGAUCCCUAGCUGGUCUGAGAGGAUGACCAGCCACACUGGAACUGAGACACGGUCCAGACUCCUACGGGAGGCAGCAGUGGGGAAUAUUGCACAAUGGGCGCAAGCCUGAUGCAGCCAUGCCGCGUGUAUGAAGAAGGCCUUCGGGUUGUAAAGUACUUUCAGCGGGGAGGAAGGCGAUGUGGUUAAUAACCUUGUCGAUUGACGUUACCCGCAGAAGAAGCACCGGCUAACUCCGUGCCAGCCGCCGCGGUAA